GAUGAAGAACGUAGCGAAAUGCGAUAAGUAAUGCGAAUUGCAGAACCCGUGAGUCAUCGAAUCUUUGAACGCACAUUGCGCCCUCUGGUAUUCCGGAGGGCAUGCCUGUUCGAGCGUCAUUAUCACCCCUCAAGCCCGGCUUGUUGUUGGAUGCAGCGCUUAUCCCGCUCCUCCCAAAGAUAAUGACGGCGUCUGCGACGACUCCUGUACACUGAGCUUUCGGGCACGUACACGGCUAGAAGUCCAGACCCGGUCGCCGUCCCCCCCGCGGGGACACCCAUUACCACAAGGUUGACCUCGGAUCAGGUAGGAAUACCCGCUGAACUUAAGCAUAUCAAUAAGCGGAGGA
rnacentral:misc_RNA from 1 species